rnacentral:antisense_RNA from 1 species
UGCAGGCUGUAAUUCCCCAUCGCCUCUGCCACAUGAGGCUGGCUUCUGCUGACGUCCUAACCUCAGGCAGUGACAACCCCGAGUGGAGCGACGGUGGUGCAGACCGGAGCUGGAUGAGGCUGUCUUUUCAAACCAGGGCAAUGGAAACACCCCACACGCUGCGCACCUGAGCCCGCGCACGCCUCCCACUCUGUCCGCUGGCACACUCUGCUGCCCGACCCUCUCACCCUCUCUUGCACACUUUGGUACCUCAUCAUUCUCCUGGUCCCAUCUAAAAGACGUCCAAUCUAACAGACCCAGGAUGCGAGGCACACUCUGCCUAUUCGGCAUCACAGAGUAAUCACAGUGACUUGCAGUUACCCAUCUCUCAAUAGUUUCUUUUUAAAAAGUUCAUCUCUUCUCUAAACGGGCUUGAUCUUGACCUGCACAGAUCAUCUGGAGUUGAGUGGACACAGGUUCAGUGAAAACGGAUCAAAGGGGCUGUUGCUGGGCCCAGUCAAUCAACUGCAGAACGUCUUAUGGCUGCAGGCUAAGAAGAGGAAACAAUUCAACGACCAAACAAAGGUUAAUCUAGUAACUGCGGCAAGGCCCAGGUAAUUUCCAUAAAUAUGUGGAAACAGCAACCACUUCAAUAGUUUGGCCUGGCACCAAUAUGAGGAAGAUCUUGGAAAACCGGACGUGGACCCCCUUUCAGUGCCCUGAGAUCCAUCGAGCAGCUGAAUGGAGGUUGGUGCUGGGGGCCAGGGGGCACCCACACAGACCAGUGAGCAGCUGCCCCUUCUGGAAUCUCACAGACUUCUAACACUGAGGGGUCUCCGGGUGCCAGCUGUGCUGCAAGUGGACAGCCAGCCUCUGCCCACACAUGUCUGGAGAUGGCAAGCUCCUCCCUUCCAGAGGGUUCCCAGAAAGGGAACAGGAGAAGCUCUUGGCCAUCAUUCUCAUUACUCUCCACAUCCUGGCAGAAACUUUAUUCCUCGAGCACUUUGUUCUUUCUGCCUCUGUAGCAUGAGACUCAGCCAUCAACAGCAGCUGCUCACAUCCUUUGUUCCCAAGAACAUUGUUCCCUCCAUUCGAGUGUGCAGGGGACUGUGCAUGGGGUGCAGGUGUGAUUGGAAUGUCAGGGUUUCCCCGCCACCGCUGGUUUUGUUUUUUCCUCUAUAUCCAGCCAAUGAGCACCUCUUGUGCACAUAUAGAUCCUCAGAGAGAGAGAAAGGCUGAUGCCUCUUCUUUGUGAGGCUGUAAGUCUUUGAGCAAUGAGGCUAUCCAACUCGACUCCAAGAAACGGAUGCGCACAGAGGUCCUACUUGUAUAGUGUCAGGCUGAUCUUAUGCAAGCCCCAUUUGCCCUAAGUGGAAAAUGAACCUUUGUAAACUGCCACCCAUGAACCAAUGUGUUGGGAGGUGUUCAACCAACUUGGCCAUCUGUUGAAUUUGAGUUAUAUCCACGAAGCUCUGUUGUGGAAUGAUGCUGGUGGUGGGGACAGAGUAGCUGCCGUUGGCUGAGGUUGCCACGCGACUAAACAGCUUAUUGUAGUGGAUGGAGAACCAGUCCGGCGGCAGAAUGUCACUCCUCCCACCCCCAGGCCUGUUUUUGGCCAACCUAAAAGAACUGCGUGUAACUAGGAUCCUUUUUUUUGCACGCACCAGGAGAACUUGCUAUUUAGGGAAUCCUGAUGAUGAAUUGUUUUUAUAAAGUCAGACCAGAGACUCUUCCUUGUCUUUCUCUCCCCUCACCCAUUUUUAUUUUCUGAAAUUGGUUUUUGCUUAAAAUCAGGGCAUGCUUUUGCACAUAAAUAAUGAGUUUGGUGGUGACCAUCUGGCAUUGCGAUCCAAAUGAAAUCUAUUCAGUGUAGUCACCUCUUUGCUGGCUGUGUGACCUUGGCCAAGUCACUUCACCCCUUUGUUACCAUCUGUAAAGUGAGGGCAAUGCAGGCAUCUACUGUACAUAUUGUGGUAAUAUUCAGACCUCUUUCAAAUAAAAUGGGCUCC